AAAAAAAAAACACCUUUGAAAGCACCUGUAUCCAUCAUUGCUUUUCAGAUUUGAUAACUCGAGGAAGCCCUAGAGUACAUCUGAGGUCCACUAUUUGAGAAAUGCUGUCUGAAAGAGUGAAGUCAGUCUAUGAAAACAUCUCUCAAAUGUGAGUCAUCUCUGCAGAUGAGAGCCUGGCUUGGUUGCUGGGCUGGGCUUCCUUCUCAUCAGAGCUUAGUGAACUCAGACAUCAGUGUUGGACUCCUUGAAAAGAGAUGAGGACAGAAGGUGCCUGGAAGCAGCCUCUGAAACCAGCUGGAAGUCUGACCCUGCAAGGGCUUCCUGGCUGCUAAACUCGGCUGACACUUUUGGAUCUCCUAAGUGAUCACUCUGCAGCAGCCGGCCCGCUCACCAUCCCCGCUUCUCUACCGUGACACAUAGCCCCUGGCUUCCUCCACUGUUCUGGCCGCUCCUCUUCAGCUUGCAUCAUGAGGAUUCCAUUCUCGGCACCCGUCCCUUCCUCUUCUUCGUGCUCCCCCCUGAGUAAAUGUGACCGUCCCCAUGG